rnacentral:rRNA from 1 species
CACGUAGGGUGCGAGCGUUGUCCGGAAUUAUUGGGCGUAAAGAGCUCGUAGGCGGUGUGUCGCGUCGGCCGUGAAAACCUGCAGCUUAACUGUGGGCGUGCGGUCGAUACGGGCAUCACUGGAGUUCGGCAGGGGAGACUGGAAUUCCUGGUGUAGCGGUGAAAUGCGCAGAUAUCAGGAGGAACACCGGUGGCGAAGGCGGGUCUCUGGGCCGAUACUGACGUGGAGGAGCGAAAGCGUGGGGAGCGAACAGGA